rnacentral:rRNA from 1 species
GAGGGGCAGCAUGGUCUUAGCUUGCUAAGGCGAUGGCGACGGCGCACGGUGAUAACACGUAUCACUGCCGUCUACUCUUGGACAGCCUUCUGAAAGGAAGAUUAAUACAAGAUGGCAUCAUGAGUCCGCAUGUUCACAUGAUUAAAGGUAUUCCGGUAGACGAUGGGGAUGCGUUCCAUUAGAUAGUAGGCGGGGUAACGGUCCACCUAGUCUUCGAUGGAUAGGGGUUCUGAGAGGAAGGUCCCCCACAUUGGAACUGAGACACGGUCCAAACUCCUACGGGAGGCAGCAGUGAGGAAUAUUGGUCAAUGGGCGAGAGCCUGAACCAGCCAAGUAGCGUGAAGGAUGACUGCCCUAUGGGUUGUAAACUUCUUUUAUAAAGGAAUAAAGUCGGGUAUGGAUACCCGUUUGCAUGUACUUUAUGAAUAAGGAUCGGCUAACUCCGUGCCAGCAGCCGCGGUAAUACGGAGGAUCCGAGCGUUAUCCGGAUUUAUUGGGUUUAAAGGGAGCGUAGAUGGAUGUUUAAGUCAGUUGUGAAAGUUUGCGGCUCAACCGUAAAAUUGCAGUUGAUACUGGAUAUCUUGAGUGCAGUUGAGGCAGGCGGAAUUCGUGGUGUAGCGGUGAAAUGCUUAGAUAUCACGAAGAACUCCGAUUGCGAAGGCAGCCUGCUAAGCU